rnacentral:tRNA from 1 species
GUUUCUAUGGUGUAAAAAAGCACGUUAGAUUUUCAUUCUAAAAGAAUAACACAAGUUUAUUAGAAAUAA